AUGGGUUUAUGGAUUAUCCAAUCCAACCCAACGUCACCUUCGUUGUUCGGGAGAAGGAGCUAAGGCGUUGUUCACCGUUCUUAGAACGCUCAUCAAUACCAGGGGAUGAUGCUGCUACUGAUUUGAGAUCUAAUGAAUGGAAGGCUGUUCCUGAUAUAUGGAGAUCAUCUGCGGAUAAGUACGGUGACAAAGUUGUUGUGCUUGAUCCCUUUCGUAUGGUUUCGUUUCAUCUGUUUCUAAAGUGUUGGAAUGUUUCUACCAUGGUAAGUUAAAAAAGGAACGCCUUUCACAAAGACUUUAAAGCUAUGGAUUAUUAAUUUUUUUACAUUUGGAGGCACAUUUUAUCUUAUCAAUUACACUGCAAAACACAAUGUGCUCGUAAAACACUUUCUAGUGUUAAAAAGACCAAAAACUCACUAAUUAAAAAAUUAUGUACAUUAACAUUUUUUUACUUUUUUGUCUCUCUCAUUCUUUCAAAUUAACUUUAUUCAAAUUUCAUCUUCCAAUGAUUCUAUCACUUCUUUUUUUCUCUCCUACAAAAGGAAAAAAAAAAAGCAAACUGAAAGACUACAGCUUGUAAAAAAAAUGAAAAGAUGUAGAAAAGGAAGAAGUGUUGUUGUGGAUUUCAAAAUCCAGAUCUGCAAAGUUACGAUUUCAUAUUCCAGAUCUGCAAAACAUGUGGACGGAUAGCUUGUGGAUGGGGGUUGCAUGAAUAAGUGGUGUGUGGAUAGCUGGAGCGUGGAUGGUUGAACAGAUCUCUGGGAAUGUGUGGAUGUUUGAACAGAUCUCUAGGAACUAGUGGGUGGCUUCAACCUGAGAGAUUCUAUCGACAAAGAAGAUUAUCUUUCUUACCUUUCCUACAUCGAACACAAACUAUAAAUUCAUAUAUUUGAUGAAAUUUUAUCCUCAUUUUUAUAAAAUUAUGUCCACAUUUUCGUUGUCCACAAUUCAUUCAUUUAUAUUUUUUUUGUAAAUGACUUAUUCAUCUAAUACUAUCUAUAAUAUUUUAAUUAUAAAAACAUUUUCUAUGUUUUUAUUUUAAAAUUUCUAAAGUAUAUAUAAAUGGAUGUCAAAAUGUAAAUGAUGAAAAAUUAAAAUUUAUUACAUCAAAUUUAUUUAUUUAUAUUUAUUAAUAUUUGAGAUAAAAACAAAUAAAUAAAUGAGGCUGAAAUUAAUAACAAAGCUCUCAUCAAGGGCAUUAUUGUCUGAUCAAAUAGCAAAUGCCAAAGAAAAGUGCAUCAAAUGUUGAAU